GGAUCCUCAUCACCUGGUCUUUUUGGAUGAUCCGAGAAGAUUAGUGGUGACAAGAGAGACCAAUAGUUUUUUACUGCCAUUUUCCAGUUUAGAGAAUCAUCUGUCACAUCAUCUAAAGCCAAUCCAUGCAAAGCUAGUUCACUCUUGUUCAAGUUAGCCCUCGAAGGCCAAGUUCUUCUCUCGUUAAUAGGUACCCAACGGCGACUUUUUCGUCCCCCAAUGCAGGCUUGGAGUGGUCUAUAAUAUGGAGAUUCAAUAUCAUGACCUUUACCGCAUAUUGGAGGAGACAAAUCUGGCUUCCGUGAGCUAUAACAAUUACUUUUACUAGUUUUCUUCCAGACAACAGUUUCA
rnacentral:misc_RNA from 1 species